rnacentral:rRNA from 1 species
UAAAAGUCGUAACAAGGUUUCCGUAGGUGAACCUGCGGAAGGAUCAUUAAAGAAAUUUAAUAAUUUUGAAAAUGGAUUUUUUUGUUUUGGCAAGAGCAUGAGAGCUUUUACUGGGCAAGAAGACAAGAGAUGGAGAGUCCAGCCGGGCCUGCGCUUAAGUGCGCGGUCUUGCUAGGCUUGUAAGUUUCUUUCUUGCUAUUCCAAACGGUGAGAGAUUUCUGUGCUUUUGUUAUAGGACAAUUAAAACCGUUUCAAUACAACACACUGUGGAGUUUUCAUAUCUUUGCAACUUUUUCUUUGGGCAUUCGAGCAAUCGGGGCCCAGAGGUAACAAACACAAACAAUUUUAUCUAUUCAUUAAAUUUUUGUCAAAAACAAGAAUUUUCGUAACUGGAAAUUUUAAAAUAUUGAAAACUUUCAACAACGGAUCUCUUGGUUCUCGCAUCGAUGAAGAACGCAGCGAAAUGCGAUACGUAAUGUGAAUUGCAGAAUUCCGUGAAUCAUCGAAUCUUUGAACGCACAUUGCGCCCCUUGGUAUUCCAGGGGGCAUGCCUGUUUGAGCGUCAUUUCCUUCUCAAACAUUCUGUUUGGUAGUGAGUGAUACUCUUUGGAGUUAACUUGAAAUUGCUGGCCUUUUCAUCGGAUGUUUUUUUUCCAAAGAGAGGUUUCUCUGCGUGCUUGAGGUAUAAUGCAAGUACGGUCGUUUUAGGUUUUACCAACUGCGGCUAAUCUUUUUUUAUACUGAGCGUAUUGGAACGUUAUCGAUAAGAAGAGAGCGUCUAGGCGAACAAUGUUCUUAAAGUUUGACCUCAAAUCAGGUAAGAGUACCCGCUGAACUUAAGCAUAUCAA